rfam:Picea glauca, whole genome shotgun sequence.
GGAAAUGUUCCAUGUGAACAUCAGUUGGACAUGGCCGUUUAGUCAAUCCUAAGAGAUGGGGAAUCCUUGUAUCAAGGGUGCACUUUGCAUGAACAUCAAAAGAGAAUUGGGUUAAUAUUCCUGAACCGGGACAUGGUGGUGGACGACAAUGUUAGGAAAUUUGGAGAUGUCAUCGGGGGCCUGGGAAGAGUUAUCUUUUAUUUUUAACGACUUUCCCACCCUGAAAUCGGUUCAACCGGAGAUAGGGUCCAACAUAUGGAAGAGAACCAUGUGUACGUCUUGCGAUGUUUGGUGCCCCCUCGACAACCAUUGAAAAUAUGGAGAAACAAGUACCAUCCAUGCUCGAUCGUACUCAUAUCUUCCUCCUUGGAUU